UACGGAGGAUCCGAGCGUUAUCCGGAUUUAUUGGGUUUAAAGGGUGCGCAGGCGGGGGAUUAAGUCGGCGGUGAAAUUUUGCAGCUCAACUGUAAAAGUGCCUUCGAAACUGGUUUCCUUGAGUGUAGAUGAAGUAGGCGGAAUUUGUGGUGUAGCGGUGAAAUGCAUAGAUAUCACGAGGAACUCCGAUUGCGCAGGCAGCUUACUAAACUACUACUGACGCUCAGGCACGAAGGCGUGGGGAUCAAACAGGAUUAGAUACUCCCGUAGUCCCU
rnacentral:rRNA from 1 species